UACGUAGGGCGCAAGCGUUAUCCGGAAUUAUUGGGCGUAAAGAGCUCGUAGGCGGUUUGUCGCGUCUGCCGUGAAAGUCCGGGGCUCAACUCCGGAUCUGCAGUCGAUACGGGCAAACUAGAGUAUUGCAGGGGAGACUGGAAUUCCUGGUGUAGCGGUGAAAUGCGCAGAUAUCAGGAGGAACACCGAUGGCGAAGGCAGAUCUCUGGGCCGUAACUGACGCUGAGGAGCGAAAGCAUGGGGAGCGAACAGG
rnacentral:rRNA from 1 species